GGAUGUGAGGGCGAUCUGGCUGCGACAUCUGUCACCCCAUUGAUCGCCAGGGUUGAUUCGGCUGAUCUGGCUGGCUAGGCGGGUGUCCCCUUCCUCCCUCACCGCUCCAUGUGCGUCCCUCCCGAAGCUGCGCGCUCGGUCGAAGAGGACGACCAUCCCCGAUAGAGGAGGACCGUUCUUCGGUCAAGGGUAUACGAGUAGCUGCGCUCCCCUGCUAGAACCUCCAAACAAGCUCUCAAGGUCCACUGUAGGAGAACGUAGGGUAGUCAAGCUUCCAAGCCCCCAGCCACAUCCAAAUGAGGCGCUGCAUGUGGCAGUCUGCCUUUCUUA
rnacentral:snRNA from 1 species